UGAACUUGCUGUUAGCUGCUGUUAGCUUAUGUUAGCUGGGUUGUCCGUCUUAAUACACCCGUGGUCUGACGUAACAGUGAAUCUGACAACAGAAUUUACUUUGUGUUUCAGUCUGAACUGUUGUAGAAGUCUCGCAAACCGGAGAAACAGCGACAGGUAAGGACCGACGAUGCUAAUUUCCCUGACGAGGUGUUAAGCAGAGUUUUGCACCCACUCGCACUCGGGCAGCAACAAACCCUUUCUGCCUCUAAACCUCCUAAAAUCAAAGACUUCAGAUUAUUUAUAGUUAUUGAUAAACAAGACAAAUAAGUUUAGGAAGAUUUUGUAUCAGUAUUAUGUCUUAAAAAUCAUAAUUCCUCUUGUGGAGGCAACUCUCGGCAGGGAUGCCGAACUUGACGCAACACCGGAGCGGAUGCUAGCUAGCUAGCUAGCUAUAACUUUAGCUUAGAGCGUGGCACUCGUUAGCGGUUAAACUCUGAGCUUGUUGACGCUUCCCUGGUGUCUUUAAUGCAGGACUGACGGCGUUAAAACACGCCGAUAACAAGACGAUCACUGAGAGGAUAAAAGGUGGAGCAGGUGGAGCAGGUCCGUUAAUUAGCAGGUGGAGCAGGUGUAACAGUGUCUCCUCAUCCAUCAACUUGUUGCCAUGGAGACAGAACCAGCCUGUUUCUAUCUGAGGAGCAGCUCCACGCUGUCUCUCCACGAGCGGUGAGACUGUGUGUGUGUGUGUCUGUGCGUGUGUGUGUGUGUGUGUGGUACAUUUAACAAUUAUUUAUUAUACCUAUACGGCGAUCUUCCAGGUGGAGAGUUAAUGUAUUUCAGCCUUCAUUUUUAUGAAGGUGCAGCUACUUCCUUCUUCUGUCACACACACACACACACACACACACACACAC